rnacentral:rRNA from 1 species
GCGCGAAAACUUUACAAUGCGGGAAACCGUGAUAAGGGAAUCUCGAGUGCCAGCAUAUAAUGUUGGCUGUCCAGAUGCCUAAAAAGCAUCUGUUAGCAAGGGCCGGGCAAGACCGGUGCCAGCCGCCGCGGUAACACCGGCGGCCCGGGUGGUAACCGCUUUUAUUGGGUCUAAAGGGUCUGUAGCCGGCCAAGUAAGUCCCUUGGGAAAUCUGGCAGCUCAACUGUCAGGCUGCUAGGGGAUACUGCUAGGCUUGGGACCGGGAGAGGUGAGAGGUACCUUGGGGGUAGGGGUGAAAUCUUAUGAUCCUCGGGGGACCACCAGUGGCGAAGGCGUCUCACCAGAACGGGUCCGACGGUAAGGGACGAAAGCUAGGGGCACGAACCG